GAUGAACGCUAGCUACAGGCUUAACACAUGCAAGUCGAGGGGCAGCAUGUUGGUUGCUUGCAACCAAUGAUGGCGACCGGCGCACGGGUGAGUAACGCGUAUCCAACCUUCCCGUUACUCUCGGAUAGCCUUCCGAAAGGGAGAUUAAUACGAGAUGGUGUUGAAAUUCCGCAUGUUAUUUCAACUAAAGAUUCAUCGGUAACGGAUGGGGAUGCGUGACAUUAGGUAGAUGGCGGGGUAACGGCCCACCAUGCCCACGAUGUCUAGGGGGUUCUGAGAGGAAGGUCCCCCACACUGGAACUGAGCACGGUCCAGACUCCUACGGGAGGCAGCAGUGAGGAAUAUUGGUCAAUGGCCGAAGGCUGAACCAGUCAAGUAGCGUGAAGGAUGAAGGUUCUAUGGAUUGUAAACUUCUUUUAUACGGGAAUAAAACCACCUACGUGUAGGUGCUUG
rnacentral:rRNA from 1 species